rnacentral:tRNA from 2 species
UCCUCGGUAGCUCAGAGGCAGAGCAAACGACUGUUAAUCGUUGGGUCGCAGGUUCGAAUCCUGCCCGGGGAGCCA